rnacentral:lncRNA from 1 species
AUAAAGAAGUCUGCAUCCUUAGUCCCAGACCUCCGCAGUUAGUAUUUGGAUUCUAGCCUUUAUAAAUGGACUUCUCAAAGGUGCAUCCAACAUCUGAGUAUUCUGGCAGCAGUAACGUAAAAGGACUGACAAGGAAGGCUGCAGAGAGGUGUCAGACACGAAAACGCUUGAAGACAUAAAAAUGAGGAGUCUUAAGCACCUAAGAACUGCAAUUCCCUAUCUGAGCAGCAGGAGGCUGGGACCUGAUCCUGGCAUAAAAAGCGGAUGCGGGCGACCGAGGACCACACACGUGGGGGCGUUCGCGGGCGCUGAAACCAGCUACGAGGCCCACGCCCCCGCCGGGGACAGCUGGUGACCAUCACCUUUGGACAG